GUGCUCACUUUGGUAGCACAUACUCUAAAACUGGAACACUACAGAGAAGAUUAGUGUGGCCUUGGUGCCAAGGUGACAUGCAGAUUUGUGAAGCGUUCCAUACUGUU
ensembl:snRNA U6 U6 spliceosomal RNA